rnacentral:rRNA from 1 species
CGGCCUGCGCGGAAGAUGUAACGGGGCUAAACCAUGCACCGAAGCUGCGGCAGCGAACGUAUCACCCAAGACAACUUUACGGAGUUGACGAUUGACGGAGCGAAGCGACGUCAAAGCGUUCAUUAAAGUCGAGUUGGCUUAGGGAUACGUUCGUUGGGUAGGGGAGCGUUCUGUAAGCCUGUGAAGGUGUGUCGUGAGGCAUGCUGGAGGUAUCAGAAGUGCGAAUGCUGACAUAAGUAACGAUAAAGCGGGUGAAAAGCCCGCUCGCCGGAAGACCAAGGGUUCCUGUCCAACGUUAAUCGGGGCAGGGUGAGUCGACCCCUAAGGCGAGGCCGAAAGGCGUAGUCGAUGGGAAACGGGUUAAUAUUCCCGUACUUGGUGUUACUGCGAAGGGGGGACGGAGAAGGCUAUGUUGGCCGGGCGACGGUUGUCCCGGUUUAAGCGUGUAGGUGUGUGUUCCAGGUAAAUCCGGUUCACUUUAACACUGAGGCGUGACGACGAGGCACUACGGUGCUGAAGCAACAAAUGCCCUGCUUCCAGGAAAAGCCUCUAAGCAUCAGGUAACAUCAAAUCGUACCCCAAACCGACACAGGUGGUCAGGUAGAGAAUACCAAGGCGCUUGAGAGAACUCGGGUGAAGGAACUAGGCAAAAUGGUGCCGUAACUUCGGGAGAAGGCACGCUGACACGUAGGUGAAGUGAUUUACUCAUGGAGCUGAAGUCAGUCGAAGAUACCAGCUGGCUGCAACUGUUUAUUAAAAACACAGCACUGUGCAAACACGAAAGUGGACGUAUACGGUGUGACGCCUGCCCGGUGCCGGAAGGUUAAUUGAUGGGGUCAGCGCAAGCGAAGCUCCUGAUCGAAGCCCCGGUAAACGGCGGCCGUAACUAUAACGGUCCUAAGGUAGCGAAAUUCCUUGUCGGGUAAGUUCCGACCUGCACGAAUGGCGUAAUGAUGGCCAGGCUGUCUCCACCCGAGACUCAGUGAAAUUGAACUCGCUGUGAAGAUGCAGUGUACCCGCGGCAAGACGGAAAGACCCCGUGAACCUUUACUAUAGCUUGACACUGAACAUUGAGCCUUGAUGUGUAGGAUAGGUGGGAGGCUUUGAAGUGUGGACGCCAGUCUGCAUGGAGCCGACCUUGAAAUACCACCCUUUAAUGUUUGAUGUUCUAACGUGGACCCGUAAUCCGGGUUGCGGACAGUGUCUGGUGGGUAGUUUGACUGGGGCGGUCUCCUCCUAAAGAGUAACGGAGGAGCACGAAGGUUGGCUAAUCCUGGUCGGACAUCAGGAGGUUAGUGCAAUGGCAUAAGCCAGCUUGACUGCGAGCGUGACGGCGCGAGCAGGUGCGAAAG